rnacentral:rRNA from 1 species
UGAGUGCGAGCGGCUACGGCCGCGAAGUGGGUGAUGUCAAGCUUCCAAGAAAAGCCCUAUACCCGUUAAGGCAUGAUGGCCUGUACCCGAAACCGACACAGGUGGGGUGGUAGAGAAUACCGAGGGGCGCGAGGUAACUCUCUCUAAGGAACUCGGCAAAAUGGCCCCGUAACUUCGGGAGAAGGGGUGCCACCGCAAGGUGGUCGCAGUGAAGAGGCCCAGGCGACUGUUUACCAAAAACACAGGUCUCCGCUAAGUCGCAAGACGAUGUAUGGGGGCUGACGCCUGCCCAGUGCCGGAAGGUUAAGGAAGCUGGUCAGCGCAAGUGAAGCUGGCGACUGAAGCCCCGGUGAACGGCGGCCGUAACAAUAACGGUCCUAAGGUAGCGAAAUUCCUUGUCGGGUAAGUUCCGACCCGCACGAAAGGCGUAACGAUCUGGGCGCUGUCUCGGAGAGAGGCUCGGCGAAAUAGAAUUGUCUGUGAAGAUGCGGACUACGUGCGCCCGGACAGAAAGACCCUAUGAAGCUUUACUGUAGCUUGGUAUCGUGCCCGGGCUCUGAAUGCGCAGGAUAGGUGGGAGGCUUUGAUCCAUGGCUUGCGGGUCAUGGUGAGCCAACGGUGAGAUACCACUCUUUCAGAGCUAGGGUUCUAACGGUCACCCGUCAUCCGGGGACCGGACAGUAUCAGGUGGGCAGUUUGACUGGGGCGGUCGCCUCCUAAAAGGUAACGGAGGCGCGCAAAGGUUUGCUCAGGCUGGUUGGAAAUCAGCUGACGAGUGCAAAAGCAGAAGCAAGCUUGACUGUGAGACCUACAAGUCGAACAGGGACGAAAGUCGGCUUUAGUGAUCCGACGGUUCUGAGUGGAAGGGCCGUCGCUCAACGGAUAAAAGUUACUCUAAGGAUAACAGGCUGAUCUCCCCCAAGAGUUCACAUCGACGGGGAGGUUUGGCACCUCGAUGUCGGCUCAUCGCAACCUGGGGCUGAAGUCGGUCCCAAGGGUUGGGCUGUUCGCCCAUUAAAGCGGUACGCGAGCUGGGUUCAGAACGUCGUGAGACAGUUCGGUCCAUAUCCGGUGCACGCGCAGGAACAUUGAGAGGAUUUCUCCCUAGUACGAGAGGACCGGGAGGAACGCACCUCUGGUGUGCCAGUUAUCGUGCCAACGGUAAACGCUGGGUAGCCAUGUGCGGAGUGGAUAACCGCUGAAAGCAUCUAAGUGGGAAGCCCACCUCAAGAUGAGUGUUCCCAUGGCAUAAGCCAGUAAGGUCACGGGAAGAACACCCGUUGAUAGGCUCUACGUGGAAGCCGGGUAACCGGUGAAGCGGAGGAGUACUAAUAGACCGAGGGCUUGAAC